CUGCAAGUUGCCAUACCAGGCAGCUCUAAACAUUGUUACAGCGUUGUAAAUGAUCCUCAGGAGGUGAACAUGGCAAACAAACUCUUUGAUAAACAAGCAACAAAGGUUCAUAAGUGUAAAAGACAUGCACGGCUUGUGUUAGGCUCACAAAUAUUGAAUAUUGAUUCUGACAAGCUAACAGAACUUCCUGGAGGCAUGUGGAAUGGGGACUUUACUGCACAUAAACAUGAUGAAGCUGGCAGAAAUACUACAUUCAAACCCAACCAAACAUGUUAGAUAAAGAAUGGCAAGAU